GGUAUAUCGAUUAAACAUGUCCUACGAAUAGCUAUAAGUAUUAAACUUUCAGCGAAAAUAAGAAUCGGAGGAUAAAAACUGAGAAAAUAACAAGUUGUUAAUUUAAGUUUCAUGAAAGUUGUCAGUUGUCAACUUUAUGCGAGACUGUCGGCGUGCACAUACCACACAUGCGUUUAUAAUGAUGGGAUUUAAAUGUUUCUUAAAACUAAACAACUAAACCGGUGUGCUCUUUUAUCAUUAAAUAAGGACUAUUUGACACUCAUAAUGAGGAAGGACACAAUAUUAUACUCAAGAGGUGAAUAAGUCAUAUUGCAGCCCUGUUGCAUCAGCUCUACAGACCGCAGAGAAGACUCGUUGGAUGUCGUCAGUCUGUCGCUGCUUCAUUGGCUCGGUUUUCCUACAGAACGGCCCUUCAUUAUUGUCCUGAUGGAUGCGGCAUUUUGUCUGAGAAAGUUCGCCGGAGUCGCAAAGAUUGUGGUCCUGAUGCAAUCUUCAUGACUGUGGCAGUAAUGGAGAUGGAGAGCUUGCUGAUGCUCUGUGAGUCUCCAAGGAAGACUCUGACACCUCACUGCUUUAAUUGGUCCAAGGAGGCUUGUUUGUGCAGAUUGAGAGCAGCGCUGCAAGAGAAACACAUGGUACCUCACUUGGGUCUUUAUAGUUGUUAGCACAUCUUAAGCCUGUUUUUUGUGUUGAUGUCUGAAAAUAGGGACAGCAUGGUUCGUAAAAAGUGUACAAUUAUCAAAACUGUAAGCGCUAAGGGAGAACAGUCUGACCAAAUGCCACUCUGCCAAACUCCAAACCUUUCAUAUUUGUAAGUGAGCAUGUCAUGUCAUUCGUAUAUGAAAUUUGUGAUCCUAAGUGUAAUUUAAAUUAUUUAAAUUCAUCUGCAAUGUACAACUGUAUUAUACAAUGGCAGAAAACUGGAAAACUGAUUUCCAUGUCAAAAAAUAACAAUUAUUUGUUUUCACACAAAUGGGUAGCAUCAAUAAAAAAUAAGUUUUCCUUGGGUUACCAGGCUCUUUGUGAUUUCAGAGCUCACCAGUGCUCUCUUCCUUCUUAAUGGUGUUCCAAACAAUUGGUUUUGGUUAGCCAAAAGGUUUGGCCAAUGCCUGACAGUUUUUUCCCCUCUUAUUUCUCAGCCUCAUAAUUGUUUCCUUGACUUUCAUUGGCAGUACUUUGGUCCUUGUGUUGACAAAUGGCAAUAAAAGUCUCUAAAGGCAAUCAAAAGCCUAGAAUCAAAACUAGAUACUUAAAGCUAUAACUGAAACUUAUACCUGGACUAAGGAAACAAUUGAACACACCUGACUUAUCAGAAACACCUGUGACAGAAUUUAUCCCAAACAUUAUG